CUACGUCUCCUUCUUCGUGUCUUUAUUUUCAAAAUACUCCCUUUCAUAAAUGGUCUACCCCUCUUUCAAUUUUUGUCCAGAAUCUUCAUCAUCUUUCAUUUCUUUGUUUUUCCAAUUUCUCUUCGGAAAGUUUCCAAUUUCAUGGGUGAAUCUCAUGUUUGUCGAAAAUUUUGGUAUUUCUCACUGAUAAAGGCCGGAAAUAAACUCCCGAAGGACGCCGCCGACGGUGACAAUAUAGAUAUAAUAAUCCACUCUAAUCUGUCGUUUUGGUCGAUUAUUACUUUCUCGGCUUUUCUUUUUAGUUUCUUAGUAUCUCUGGCCAUUAGCUACUAUUUUAUUUCUAGAUAUCUCCAUUUACUCUUUGAUUUUGGCAUUGAUUAAACCUAUAAAUUUUGCUGGAUUUGUUUAUAUAUGGUAAUGUGCUAUGUUGGUUUUGAAGCACAAGUGUAGUACCAGUAUCUGGCUGAAGCAAGAAAGUGUUUGGUUUAGUUAUCUCUUGAAGCUUAAAGUAAAAAAGAUUUGAGCUUUAUGAAUCUAUCUUAUUAUUCUAAAGUUCGGUAUUAACUAUUGUUAUAAUUGUAUGUUGAAAUGUUGAAUCUCUUUUCUCCUAGCUGAGUGAAAAAUGUGGUAUUGAAUGAGAUUUUGUUUAUCUUGCCAAAUAGAAUUGGUUUACUAAAGGAGAUAAAUGAAGUGCUUAUUCAUGACUAUGAGUCUCAAAAUGAUUCAUGGAAUAAAUUGUGAGGAUGAUUAAAAAGUUCUUGAACUACAAGUCUCACCGAUUGAGAGAAUGCUUUAUAGGACUAACUCAAAAUGUGUUGGACCGGCUAAAUUAUUACAUGAAUUGUUUUAGAAAAUGUUUUGAAGGAACUGUGUGUAUCUUUUUUAUUCUCACUUUGUGCUUCUGCUUCACCUUCUUUCUACGAAAAAGCUAUUUUUCUGUUUCUGGUGAGUGCCUUUGCUUCUGCCUCUUUCCUUUUUAUUCCGUGUUUUCUUUUGGUUUGUUUUUAGUGUUUUUUGCUUCUGCUUUGUGCUUGGGUAUUAUCAGUGGUUUUUUAGUUUCCCGCUGCAUAGAAACAGGGAAAUGGUAGCUUCUUUGUAAGCACUUCCUAAAUUAGUAGCUUCCGCUAUUUGGGCUUGGCAAACCUUGGAUGGUAUGUGAUUUAAGGCUUCCCUAUCACAUGCAACAGUUCUUUUGCAGCCAUGGCGUGGUAUCCUUCUCUUUGCCCAUUAGAAAUGCAAACUAAGCCUUAAUAUUGCAGGUCCCUCUGAACAUUGUUUGGUGGAAACCCAUCUGUUUUAUUCAACUCAUAGAAAGGCAUCAAUGGGAAAUAGGAAUUACUUAUUCAUUCAGUUAUGUUGGUAACAUUAGGAUUCUCAAGUGAGUGUUGUUUUUCUUCAUAACUGAUUAUUUCGUCACUAUUCAUUUAUGAAUCCAACCAAAUAUGUUUUGAGUCUUUGAUGUUGUAAAAUUUGCGAUUAAAGGCAGUAAUACUGUAAUGUGAAAAAAAAAAAACGACGGAAAAGAAAAUAAGCUUUCCUUGGGGGUGGAGAAAAGAGUCAACACAUUAUAUUGUGACUCUAGGCGAGGUUAGUAAUAAAAGGCAUUAUGAAAUGGCUUGUUUAUGCACGUAGCGAGCUCAUUUCUAUUGCGAGAUAAUAAAAGAAGACUUUUUAAUGGUAUUUAACAAUUGUUAAUCUCCAUUGUCAUCUACUUACCUUUGUUGCUCUCAGGUCAAUAAAAUAGAGGCUUAUCUAUAAUAUGCUGUCCAAUUUUGUUGAUGCAUUUCCUAAUAUUUGGUUGCAGGUCCCUGGUUUCAUCCUAUGUGGUAUAUAUAAGCUCCAGCAGUUUAAUAAAUAUAUCAAAUCAUAGCAAAGAAUAUUGGAAGGAUGGAGUACAAUUAAUGUCCUGUUUCACGGGUAUGGUCAAUAUGACAUAUUGGAGAUCAUUUCAGAGAAGGUUCACCAGAAGUUAGAAGAAUAAAAAGUAGAGUAUGAUGCACUUAGACAUAUAGUCUUUACUAAAUUUUAAUAAAGGUAGUUAGCAAGGACGAUGAACUUAUAUAAUAAGAAGUUCGGCUAUCCUGUUAACAAAGAUAUCACAUCUUGCUCUUGACAAUAGUUUGUUAUAUGUGAUUUUCUUAAAGUUAGCUGCUUUUGGCUCAAUAAGAUAAAGUUCUGCUGGAGGUCAUUACUAUUUCUGAGUACUAGCUAGACCACUAAUCUGGACUAUGUUACAAGUACAGCUUAUCAAGUGAGAAGGAGCUUACAUUUCUCAUGGAUAUGUAGUGAUCCUGCAUAAAUUGUUGAUUAAAAAGUUAUAGGACAUCUCUUAUGUGACUAAUAAUCUUUACAAUUUCCUUUUAACAAAUCUUCUGGUCUACUGAUCUGGGUUUAAGGAAGCAAUUUGAAAUCCUUUUAGCUGGCCAUGUUAGUUCGAGAAGAAGUGAAGAUUGGGCCUAAAGUAAUCAAGAAGCUGGAGAUUUCAUCUCUAUGCAACAACACGAAAACAAUCAUGUACACCCCCAAGCAGCAUGAGAUGAAGAAUUUGCCAGAAAGUGAUGAUGCUUUUUCUGAUGUAGAGUUAUCUUCGCGGCCAAGAUGCAUUUACAAUCUCACCUAAUGAUUUUUAUUUGACGUCUCAAAUGACUGAAAAAUGCUUGGCAAUGCAGUAUCAAUUUUUCCGAACUUGAGAAUAUCAAACUACUACACUGUUUGCUACAGUUUGACGAUUAACAGAUUAUAUACAAAAAGGUUUCGAGAAUGAUCUACUUUUACAAGGAUGCUUCUUCUUUUGUCUUUCUCAUCCGUGGAAGCAAGUUAAAGAAUAUCUUUUGUUACAAAUACAUAUUUUAGAUUCUAUAUGACUUUGUUCCUCAAAUAAAUGCACAUUAUAUGAAGUGUUAUUAUAUUGCUACAUUAUAUCAAGUGUUGUUAUAUUGCUAAUGUUUUAUCAGCUUGAUAUCAUUACAUCAUUUUAGUAAUAGUAAUGUUAGGCGUAUAGCACGGGCACGGGCACGGGCUAUUAUCUAAUCCUAUGCUCUGUGUCUGGUCAUGCUAUGUUUUUGUUAAAUUCUUUAGCUUAAUGACAAAAUUAAUAGGAAAAACAAUGAAAAUACUAUGAGCAAGCCCUACCAUAUAAUUAUAUGCAAUUGUUGCUUUGAUCCACUUCUCUUAACCUUCUUGGUAUCCCGAUGUCAGGCAGUAAAAAUCUGUACAUAUUUGGCUUUUCUUGCCUGAAUGUGAUGAUCCACUGGUGUGUCCUGUUAUAUUCACCUGAUUUUGUUAAUUUGGUAUAGUCAUGUACACCCCCAAGCAGCAUGAGAUGAAGAAUUUGCCAGAAAGUGAUAUGCUUUUUCUGAUGUAGAGUUAUCUUCGCGGCCAAGGUCUGUCCUUCCUUUCUUCUUGAAACUACGUGAGAAAAACUGAUUUUGUGAAUAUUGCAUUUCCUUAGGAUAUGGUUAGCCUCUUUUUUUUUUUGGGGUGUUAUCUUUAUCACUUUCUCUCAACCAAGACAAUUAUUGGACAAACAUAUUGAUAUAGACACUUUCGGAGAACAACAACUGCCCAGUGAAAUUCCCUGUGGUAAGAAAUUAUUGAUUGUUCUGCGCAAACCGAAGUGUUUUCGCAUUACGUUCUAACUUAUAGUUGUUUUUUUAAAUACCAGGCAGUUGCAUCUUGUGUAUUCUUUCUUAUUUUAGGGGCUGUAAAUUCUUACAGUUAUCUGCCCUAUUGUCUUCUUGAUAGGGCUUGCAAUGUCAGUUGUCGUUGCAUCUUUAUAUAAAUUUUGCGUGAUUCUUCUCAGUUAUAACCCAAUCAAGAAGGUAUCUCAAAUCAGAGACCGAGAAAUCUCAAACUCCUCAUUAUUGAAAGCCAUAAGUACAAUUUUCACUCCAGUCCAUCACUCUGCAAGAUGAUAUGCAUCAACCACUUUAGGGGCGUUUUUUCUUCGGCCUGUAAAGUGUCAUUUUUAUGAAUAAGUUGAGACUUGAAAGUUGAAUGUAAAUUACUCUAGACAUCAAGCUACAAAAAUGAACAAUAGUGUCGCGCAUAUCCCAUGCUUUGCUUGAGAUGCAUGGAUUUCAUUAGAACUUCAUACUUCAAAAGUAUUGCAUGAAAGCUGAAAUUGGUGAGCAAAGUUGAAUCCUACGGGGUUAUGUCAAAAUGUUGGCCAUGAAAGCGUAUGGUUACUUCUAAUUUGCGUUUUUUUUUUUUAGGAAAGAAACAUAGGACUUGGAGCUGAAAGGGUGUGAAUUGGGGAGAAAAUCAUAAACAAGAUGUAUAUUCCAAGCAGUAGAGUUCAACAUAAUAUAACUGGGCCAAGAUUAAUCUAUUUGAGAAAGGAGAGAAACAGAAGAUUCUUUGCAGGGUACCGAUACAUAGAAAAGAAACUAAUAAAUGGUUUUGUCGUUUAUUAAUGCAAAAAGGAGCCAAUUGUAGAUAUCCAGAUUAAAUACAUGUUGGCAGCUGUCAAGAUCCAGAUUUCAUGCAAUUUUAACAUAGCCCAUACAUAAGUUGAACACCUACAUGAUCAUGAAAACCCGUACUAUUUUUGUCUUUAUAGCGAGUUCAAAAAUGUAAUUGUAUGACUUUGUUCCACAAAUGAAUGCACAUUAUGCAGUAUAUUACGUCAACACUUAGUUUGAUAUUUCUUUUCGUUUUUUGGACAAUCUUCCCGCACAAUUAGAACCGCCAUGAAAUUAUUGUUCCAUGCCCAGCACGGGCACGGGCCAUCUAGAGAGAAAGACAAUUUAGAAGAAGAAGCUUAUGAUUCUUCUAUAACUGAAUGUUCUUUUGUGGAAGAAGGUGAAUACACUGUUUUAAUUGAGUUCAUUAUUCCAUCCACAGUUUGGUAGCAGACACAAGAAAGGAAAGAUAACCAAGUCAACUCUUUGUCUAGGGCCAAGUUCAUAAGCCUAUAAUUCCUUUGUAGCUAUUUUUUUUGUAUAACAUGGAGGAAAUGUGGUUGCUGAGGACAAGAAAGGAUGAACGGUGCUUGAACAAGCUUCAUAUUAGCCUUGGCUCAGCAUUAGUUGAUGAUGAGAAGGCAUUAAUGCUGGUAAAACAACGCCGGAUGUAAAACUACCUCUGGUGUCAUUAGCCAAUUGAUAUAUUCAAGGCUUACUCUGUAAAUGGUUGAUGUGAGGUGUUCUCAAAUUUGUGAAGUUGGCGACCAACUGCCCAAACGUCAAAUAGGAAUGAGCAACUCCAGUCAGUUUUCUUCAAGAUGUCUGCUGCUGAUGUUUCUUUAGUUCCUUGGUAAUUUUUAUAGGCUGGUUAGAGUUAGACUAACUUUGAGAUAAAUUUUAUGAAUUUCCUUUAUGGGAGAAGAGUUCUUCCAAAUUUAGCUUAGAGUUAGGAUUACAGAGGUGACCUAAAUCAACUUCUUAAGACAUUCUUUGAUGGUAAUAUUGGCAUACAUGAUUCUUGGCUUCCUUUA